CCUACGGGGGGCAGCAGUGGGGAAUAUUGGACAAUGGGGGGAACCCUGAUCCAGCCAUGCCGCGUGUGUGAAGAAGGCCCUCGGGUUGUAAAGCACUUUCAGUGAGGAAGAACGCCUGGUGGUUAAUACCCAUCAGGAAAGACAUCACUCACAGAAGAAGCACCGGCUAACUCCGUGCCAGCAGCCGCGGUAAUACGGAGGGUGCGAGCGUGAAUCGGAAUUACUGGGCGUAAAGCGCGCGUAGGUGGCUUGAUAAGCCGGUUGUGAAAGCCCCGGGCUCAACCUGGGAACGGCAUCCGGAACUGUCAAGCUAGAGUGCAGGAGAGGAAGGUAGAAUUCCCGGUGUAGCGGUGAAAUGCGUAGAGAUCGGGAGGAAUACCAGUGGCGAAGGCGGCCUUCUGGACUGACACUGACACUGAGGUGCGAAAGCGUGGGUAGCAAACAGGAUUAGAUACCCGGGUAGUC
rnacentral:rRNA from 1 species